rnacentral:rRNA from 1 species
ACUUGGAUAUGGAUUCUUCACGGUAACGUAACUGAAUGUGGAGACGUCGGCGUGAGCCCUGGGAGGAGUUCUNUUUUCUUCUUAACAGCUUAUCNCCCUGGAAUUGGUUUAUCNGGAGAUGGGGUNUUAUGGCUGGAAGAGCGCAGCAACCUCUUGCUGUUCGUCCGGUGCGCUCANNNCGGCNCUUGAAAAUCCANAGGAAGGAAUNGUUUUCAUGCCAAGUCGUNCU